UUUGUCCAUGUCAUCAUGUAACUUUGCUGCUUUUCUUCCCACACUCGCCCACUCCUCCGCUCUCGUCUUCCCUCCCUAAUCAAGCGGUUUCCGUGGUUAGCAUCAAAUUUUUGGAGAAGCUCCUCACCGCCACCGCGCCCUUUCGGCGAAGCUAGGGAUUUAGAGGAGCUUGCCACUUCACGGGAUGUGCAGCAAUUGGUAGCUGGUACUACUUAGGAGGUGCCAGCCUGGGGGGUCUGUCUUGAAUGGUUUACGAAUGAGAAUCCAUGUUCACUUGAUAUCUUUGUCAAGUUUACACCCCUAGAAAUGCAUGCUGGAUGAUGUGCCUUGCAUUGCUGCUAUGUGAACAGCUUAUGUUUUUUGAUAAACAUCAAACUAUAUGAUAUGUCAAAGAUUACUCACUGAUCCCAUUUUUCCGCAUCAGUGACGCUUUUUUUAUAGAAUUUUUGGGCGUAGUUGUACCAGCUGUAUAUGUUGAAUUGCUCUUAUUAUAUAGCAAGAGUAAUGUUAUUGCAGCCGAACAUGUUCUCAUUUUAGUGCUAAUAUCUUAUUACAACGGGUUCUCUGGA